rfam:Streptomyces turgidiscabies Car8 gcontig_1113219321387, whole genome shotgun sequence.
GGCCAAGUUUUUAAGGGCGCACGGUGGAUGCCUUGGCACCAGGAACCGAUGAAGGACGUGGGAGGCCACGAUAGUCCCCGGGGAGUCGUCAACCAGGCUUUGAUCCGGGGGUUUCCGAAUGGGGAAACCCGGCAGUCGUCAUGGGCUGUCACCCACAUCUGAACACAUAGGGUGUGUGGAGGGAACGCGGGGAAGUGAAACAUCUCAGUACCCGCAGGAAGAGAAAACAACCGUGAUUCCGGGAGUAGUGGCGAGCGAAACCGGAUGAGGCCAAACCGUAUACGUGUGAGACCCGGCAGGGGUUGCGUAUGCGGGGUUGUGGGAUCUCUCUUUCACAGUCUGCCGGCUGUGAGGCGAGUCAGAAACCGUUGAUGUAGGCGAAGGACAUGCGAAAGGUCCGGCGUAGAGGGUAAGACCCCCGUAGUCGAAACAUCAACGGCUCGUUUGAGAGACACCCAAGUAGCACGGGGCCCGAGAAAUCCCGUGUGAAUCUGGCGGGACCACCCGUUAAGCCUAAAUAUUCCCUGGUGACCGAUAGCGGAUAGUACCGUGAGGGAAUGGUGAAAAGUACCGCGGGAGCGGAGUGAAAUAGUACCUGAAACCGUGUGCCUACAAGCCGUGGGAGCGUCGCUCAUCAAGCUU